GACGAACGCUGGCGGCGUGCUUAACACAUGCAAGUCGAACGCUGAAGCACCAGCUUGCUGGUGUGGAUGAGUGGCGAACGGGUGAGUAAUACGUGAGUAACCUGCCCUUGACUCUGGGAUAAGCCCGGGAAACUGGGUCUAAUACUGGAUGCUACAUGUCACCGCAUGGUGGUGUGUGGAAAGGGUUUACUGGUCUUGGAUGGGCUCACGGCCUAUCAGCUUGUUGGUGAGGUAAUGGCUCACCAAGGCGACGACGGGUAGCCGGCCUGAGAGGGUGACCGGCCACACUGGGACUGAGACACGGCCCAGACUCCUACGGGAGGCAGCAGUGGGGAAUAUUGCACAAUGGGCGAAAGCCUGAUGCAGCGACGCCGCGUGAGGGAUGACGGCCUUCGGGUUGUAAACCUCUUUCAGCAGGGAAGAAGCCACAAGUGACGGUACCUGCAGAAGAAGCACCGGCUAACUACGUG
rnacentral:rRNA from 1 species